rnacentral:tRNA from 1 species
GGUCGGGAUAGCUCAGUAGGUAGAGCAGAGGACUGAAAAUCCUCGUGUCACCAGUUC